UACGGGGGGGGCAAGCGUUGUUCGGAAUUACUGGGCGUAAAGGGCUCGUAGGUGGCCAACUAAGUCGGACGUGAAAUCCCUCGGCUUAACCGGGGAACUGCGUCCGAUACUGGUUGGCUUGAGUUUGGGAGAGGGAUGCGGAAUUCCAGGUGUAGCGGUGAAAUGCGUAGAUAUCUGGAGGAACACCGGUGGCGAAGGCGGCAUCCUGGACCAACACUGACGCUGAGGAGCGAAAGCCAGGGGAGCAAACGGGAUUAGAAACCCCCGUAGUCC
rnacentral:rRNA from 1 species